rnacentral:rRNA from 5 species
CCUUUGUUGCCAGCGAUUAGGUCGGGAACUCAAAGGAGACUGCCAGUGAUAAACUGGAGGAAGGUGGGGAUGACGUCAAGUCAUCAUGGCCCUUACGACCAGGGCUACACACGUGCUACAAUGGCGCAUACAAAGAGAAGCGACCUCGCGAGAGCAAGCGGACCUCAUAAAGUGCGUCGUAGUCCGGAUUGGAGUCUGCAACUCGACUCCAUGAAGUCGGAAUCGCUAGUAAUCGUGGAUCAGAAUGCCACGGUGAAUACGUUCCCGGGCCUUGUACACACCGCCCGUCACACCAUGGGAGUGGGUUGCAAAAGAAGUAGGUAGCUUAACCUUCGGGAGGGCGCUUACCACUUUGUGAUUCAUGACUGGGGUGAAGUCGUAACAAGGUAACCGUAGGGGAACCUGCGGUUGGA